AGUGAACGCUGGCGGUAGGCCUAACACAUGCAAGUCGAGCGGCAGCACAGUAAGAGCUUGCUCUUACGGGUGGCGAGUGGCGGACGGGUGAGGAAUACAUCGGAAUCUACUUUUUCGUGGGGGAUAACGUAGGGAAACUUACGCUAAUACCGCAUACGACCUACGGGUGAAAGCAGGGGAUCUUCGGACCUUGCGCGAUUGAAUGAGCCGAUGUCGGAUUAGCUAGUUGGCGGGGUAAAGGCCCACCAAGGCGACGAUCCGUAGCUGGUCUGAGAGGAUGAUCAGCCACACUGGAACUGAGACACGGUCCAGACUCCUACGGGAGGCAGCAGUGGGGAAUAUUGGACAAUGGGCGCAAGCCUGAUCCAGCCAUACCGCGUGGGUGAAGAAGGCCUUCGGGUUGUAAAGCCCUUUUGUUGGGAAAGAAAAGCAGCAGGUUAAUACCCCGCUGUUCUGACGGUGCCCAAAGAAUAAGCACCGGCUAACUUCGUG
rnacentral:rRNA from 1 species